ensembl:misc_RNA 7SK 7SK RNA
GGAUGUGAGGACGAUUUGUCACCUCAUUGAUCGCCAGGGUUGAUUUGGCUGAUCUGACUGUCUAGGCUGAUGUCCCCUUCCUCCCUCAUCACUCCAUGUGCGUCCCUCCUGAAGCUUCACACUUGGUCAAAGACGAUGGCCUUCACUGAAUAGAGACGGACCGGUCUUUGGUCAAGGGUAUACGAGUAGCUGCGCUCCCCUGCUAGAACCUCCCAACAGGCUCUCAAGGUCCAUAAUUUAUCUCCUUUAAUGCUAUUUACAUAUAGCUGUAUUUUAUAUAGUGGCAUAAAUAGUUGUUUCU